rnacentral:lncRNA from 1 species
CUUUUUAGGGCCACACCUGUGGCCUAUGGAAGGAACUAUUUGAGCUAGGGCUCAAAUUGGAGCUGCAGCUGCCAGCCUACACCACAGCCACAGCAAUGCCAGAUCCAAGCCGAGUCUGUGACCUACACCACAGCUCAAGGCAACACUGGAUCCUUAACCCACUGAGCAAGGCCAGGGAUCAAACCUGAGUCCUCAUGGAUACUGGUCAGGUUCGUUACUGCUGAGUCACAACGGGAACUCCAAAGACGGCCAUUUUAUACUGACAAAAGGGCCGAUCCAUCAGGAAGAUAUAACAACUAUAAACUUAUAUGUACCUAAUAACAGAGCCCAAAAUACAUGAAGCACAAACUGCCAGAAAUGAAGAGGAAAAUAAACAAUUCAACAAUAGUUGGAGGCAGCAAGGUCCCACUUUCAGUAAUGGAUAGAACAAGGCAGAAGAUCAACAAAAAAACAGAAGACUUGAACAACACUACAAGGCAACAGACAUCUAUAGAUAAACCCAUCUAAUGGCAGCAAAACACCCUUUCUGCUCAAUGCACAUAGAACACUCUCCAGGAUAGACCACAUAUUAAGCUAUAAAACAAGCUUCAGGAAUUCCCGUCUGGCGCAGUGGUUAACGAAUCCGACUAGGAACCAUGAGGUUGCGGGUUCAAUCCCUGCCCUUGCUCAGUGGGUUGACAAUCCAGCGUUGCCGUGAGCUGUGGUGUAGGUUGCAGAAGCGGCUCGGAUCCCACAUUGCUGUGGCUCUGGCAUAGGCCAGUGGCUACAGCUCCAAUUCGACCCCUAGCCUGGGAACCUCCAUAUGCCACAACGGCCAAAAAUAAUAAUAAUAAUAAAAAUUUUUAAAAAGCAAUAUGGGGGAUAUUUCAUCAUGGGCAAAAGGGCAAAUUGCCAUAUAGGUUGAUGGUUUGGGGCUGAGUGAUGAAUACAUAAGGUUCUUUAUCCUAUUCUGUCCACCUGUGUAUAUGUUUGAAUUUUCCCUAAUAAAAGGUUUAAAAAAGAAAACAAAGGGAACCAGCACAACGACAGUCACUAACAAGUGCCUUCCCCAUCUAAAUUUACAAAUAUCCUUCAGAAAGUUCCAUCACAGGACCGCAUGCUAUCUCGUUUGAUAUCCUCCCUGAAACAAAGGCCAGAGAGGAGACCACGGCUGCUCCAGAGUUUUCAUAACACAGAUCAUAAAAAGACACAGGACUGUGCAAACCCCACUUUGAAGAAUGACAGUAUUAAAAACAGCAUUUGAUGGAGUUCCCACUGUGACUCAGAGGAAACAAAUCCAACUAGUAUCCUUGAGGAUGCAGGUUUCAUCCCUGGCCUCACUCAGUGGGUUAAGAAUCCAGCAUUGCCUAGAGCUGCAGUGUAGGUGGCAGAUACGGCUCAGAUGCUACAUUGCUGUGGCUGUGGCGCAGGCCAGAAGCUGUAGCUCUGAUUGGACCCCUAGCCCGGGAAUUUCCAUAUGCCUCGGGUGCAGACCUAAAAAGCCGAAACAAACAAAAACAUCACCAGCAUUUGAGAUCUGCCUGGCAGGCAUGAUCUCCACACUGUGCCCUGCCUGGCACCAGGAUCCCAGGCUUCCACACAGAACCCUACUUCCUCCUUCAGCCAAAGAAACGACUCUCACCAGGACUGACCUGCCCCCAGCCCUCUUCCCAGUGCGGAAACCCCAAGCUGCUCAUAGAGAGGGGAUCUGCACAAAUCCUCGGGGGCCCUGGGCUCUGCAAGAGGUUCCCCAUUUCAAAGUCCUGUUUCUGGGUGGAAAUGGUCUGCUCCAUCAUAGGGAUCUCAAUUCAUUCCAAACAAGAGGAUUAAAAAUGGAGAACAAUAAAGGACAGGAAGACUGGCUGACCCAACCAGCGGGACAUGGUCCCUCCUCAGGCACCCGAACCACAACAUGACCAUUCACAGGGAACUGUGCCCUUGUUCCAGGCAUAUGAACUCACUUCCACUCACAGCAAUCUUCUCAGUUAGCCUGUGUCACCUUAUCACAGCUCAAGAGGAGGUGGCCCAGAGAGGUUAAGUGACUUGCCCAAGGUCACACAGUUGGAGAGGAAUGAUGAAGCUGGGGUUUGAAACCCCCUGUUCCAACCUGGGAGUCAGGUUCCUAUCUCCCUCCCAUCCAAUCCACUUGUGAGGCCCAGCAGGUCUGCCUCCAAAAUCCACCCCAAGUCUGGUCGUCCUCGGGCCCAGCCCAGACCACCUUCUGAGCCACUGUCAUGGCUCAACUGAUGCCCGCUGGUGUCCUCUCCCUGUUUUCCCUCCCAACAGCCUUCACAGGAGUCCUUUAAAACACAUAAGUCUCAGAUACCAUCACUGCCUCCCAAGGCUUCUGCCUUUAAUGGGGUCCAGUGCCUCACUGUGGCCCAAGUGGCAGAGUCACUCAGUCUGGCCUCUGUGAACCUCUGCUCUCCUCCUAGCUCAUCAUGCUCCAGCCACACUGGUUGUCUUCUGAUCCUCAAACAGGACAAGCUCAUUUCUGCCCCAGGACCUUUGCACAUACUCUUUGUUCGUCCCUGUGAAGCUUCUUAUCCCAGAGCUGCUUGGUUCAGCACAUCAUUCAGACCUUUGCCCAAACGUCACCUGGGAGAGGCCUUCACUGUCUAUCCCGUGAAGGGAGCACCACUCCCCAGGUUCUGCCAUCAGAUCCAUCUCUGAUCGUCCCACAGAGGCCAUCACUACCUCCCCCUGCUGGCCUCCCCUGAGAGAGCCGCAAGGGGGUGAGCUUCAGGGUGUGACGUCAGCAGUGAGGGGACACCAGCCAGGUGUUCUCUACCCCAGG